UACAGUGGCGUACGGGUGAGUAACACGUGGAUGAUCUACCUCUUGAUGGGGGAUACCUCUGGGAAACCGGAGACAAUACCGCAUAAGCUCGAGAGAGGAAAGCCGCAAGGCGUCGGGAGAGGAGUCCGCGGCCGAUUAGCUAGUUGGUAGGGUAAAAGCCUACCAAGGCAAAGAUCGGUAGCCGGCCUGAGAGGGCACACGGCCACACUGGCACUGAAACACGGGCCAG
rnacentral:rRNA from 1 species